AUGACUCCUAGAGGAUUGAUUCUGAGGCAGUCACAGGCUUCCAUUCACCACAGGCUUCAUUAACAUGUGUGAUGUCUGUCCCUCCCUCUGUACCUCUCCAAGUCCCGGCUUGCUUCCCACUCAGCCUGUGCACUGAAAUAACGAAUCCCUCUCCUCCCCGAUUUCUUCACAGCCCUAGAUGAGAAGGAAGCAACACAGAGGGGCACUGAGAGUAGUGUAGUUCUGGCUAUUAAUAGCAUCAUCUUACCGAUUCAAAAUCAUUGCCAUUUUUGAAAAAUACAGUAAUUCUUCUCUAUCCAUUUGCACCUCUCAUUCUACUCUACGGGCUGUCACUGGCGCUAGGAUGGAACUUUACCCAUACUCUGUGCUCUUUCUACAAGUACAGAGUGAAGUGAAAGACAGAAUGAGAAUAUUCCAUCUUAACUGUGUCAACAGUAUUGAUGAAAUGAUGAUUUCUUGUAAACUUGUAAAUAAACUAUUUGUAGAUAAAGGUGUAAAGUUUGCAAAUUUAAAUAAAUAUAUGUUAACACUAUUGUCAAGCACAUUCCUUAAAACUAAUUAAAUGUACUUUCUAUAAUA